rnacentral:lncRNA from 1 species
AUGACAUAGCAUAAUGGGAGGACCUCAUGUAACAAUAUAACUCGGCAUGAAUCUGCUCAAAAUUGUAUGAAUCAUCAUAUGUUGACUCUCACGACAUAGCAUAAUGGGAGGACACCUCAUGUGCCCAACACCACAUUCAACUAUAUAAAUCAGUUCAAAUAGGCACAAAUGAUCGACAUUCGGUAAAAAGAACAAUGGUUACAGCAAGUUGUGACCCGAGGAAAAUCCACAUGGUUUGGACUCUGGAGAGUCCACGCCGUCUCAAUGGCAAGUUGAUCAAAAAGAUGUGCUCGUAUCACUUGCUAUUUGCUGACGCCGGCUUCAACCAUGGGUAGACGUCCGGUGAUGAGGG